GAAAGACUGCGAGCAGCAAAUCGCGUGGCGCGGGAAAAACUCAAGAAAGAUAAAGAAAAAACCAAGCGCUACUACAAUAAGAAAGCUAAACCGGCGGCGUUUAAAGCAGGAGAAAAGGUCUUGCUCUACGACGAAACGUUAAGAAGGGGCAGAUCUAAGAAGUUAGAAUCUAAGUGGAUAGAACCCUAUGUGAUAUUGGCAAGGUCAUCAGACGUCACUUACACUAUAAAACCGGGACGGCGCACGCAGAAUGUGCACGUCAACAGGCUGAAGGCCUUUGUAGAAAGCUGAGUAAAAAAAAAACUCACCGGGUUGCUUCACUCGGAGUCCAAAAGAACGACAAGGGGAGGCGUGGCGCGAGGCAAAGGCCCGAGGCACUCUACUUCGGCUGCGUUCCGAUAUUGACUCAUGGAUAUAACACUUGCACACUAAUAUUAGAACUUUCAAGAUCUUUAAUAAAAUCGGAUAAUGAUUCUUCAGAAGAAGAUGAAUCAGACAAGUUACCAUUAUUAUUAAUUAAAGAAAACUACUAUCGAAUACCACAUAUGCGUUGCCAAAAAUACGUUGAAAAUGUUGUGUCAUUGUAUACAGAUGAAGAAUUCCAGAUGCACUUUCGAAUGAAACGAAAUACUUUCCAGUUUUUACUAAAAUUAUUAAGGCCAAAUCUGUGUAAAUAAAGCAAUAGAUUUGGAAGAAAACUAAUAACACCUGAAAAACAAUUACUCAUUGUUAUUUGGAUGAUGGCUACACCAAAUUCGUAUAGAUGUGCUUCAGACAGAUUUGAUGUGGGUAAAGCUACUGCAUGGCGAAGUGUGCAUAGAGUUGUUAAUGCCUUGUAUGCAAAAGUGAGAAUGUUCAUUUGUUGGCCAACUAUGCAAGAAGCAGAACAAAUUAUGCAAAAGAACAAUUGUAUGGUUUCCCAGAUGUUAGUAGUGCAAUAGAUGGAACUUACAUAAAAAUUAAUGCACUAAAAAAUAAUAGUGAUUCAUAUGUAAAGAAAAGGCUAUUAUUCUAUU